rnacentral:rRNA from 1 species
CCUACGGGUGGCUGCAGUGGGGAAUAUUGGACAAUGGGGGCAACCCUGACCCAGCCAUGCCGCGUGUGUGAAGAAGGCCCUCGGGUUGUAAAGCACUUUCAGUGAGGAAGAACGCCUGGUGGUUAAUACCCAUCAGGAAAGACAUCACUCACAGAAGAAGCACCGGCUAACUCCGUGCCAGCAGCCGCGGUAAUACGGAGGGUGCGAGCGUUAAUCGGAAUUACUGGGCGUAAAGCGCGCGUAGGUGGCUUGAUAAGCCGGUUGUGAAAGCCCCGGGCUCAACCUGGGAACGGCAUCCGGAACUGUCAAGCUAGAGUGCAGGAGAGGAAGGUAGAAUUCCCGGUGUAGCGGUGAAAUGCGUAGAGAUCGGGAGGAAUACCAGUGGCGAAGGCGGCCUUCUGGACUGACACUGACACUGAGGUGCGAAAGCGUGGGUAGCAAACAGGAUUAGAUACCCCGGUAGUC